GAUGAGCGCUGGCGGCGUGCCUAAUACAUGCAAGUCGAGCGAACGGACGAGAAGCUUGCUUCUCUGAUGUUAGCGGCGGACGGGUGAGUAACACGUGGAUAACCUACCUAUAAGACUGGGAUAACUUCGGGAAACCGUAGCUAAUACCGGAUAAUAUUUUGAACCGCAUGGUUCAAAAGUGAAAGACGGUCUUGCUGUCACUUAUAGAUGGAUCCGCGCUGCAUUAGCUAGUUGGUAAGGUAACGGCUUACCAAGGCAACGAUGCAUAGCCGACCUGAGAGGGUGAUCGGCCACACUGGAACUGAGACACGGUCCAGACUCCUACGGGAGGCAGCAGUAGGGAAUCUUCCGCAAUGGGCGAAAGCCUGACGGAGCAACGCCGCGUGAGUGAUGAAGGUCUUCGGAUCGUAAAACUCUGUUAUUAGGGAAGAACAUAUGUGUAAGUAACUGUGCACAUCUUGACGGUACCUAAUCAGAAAGCCACGGCUAACUACGUGCCAGCAGCCGCGGUAAUACGUAGGUGGCAAGCGUUAUCCGGAAUUAUGGGGCGUAAAGCGCGCGUAGGCGGUUUUUUAGUCUGAUGUGAAAGCCCACGGCUCAACCGUGGAGGGUCAUUGGAAACUGGAAAACUUGAGUGCAGAAGAGGAAAGUGGAAUUCCAUGUGUAGCGGUGAAAUGCGCAGAGGUAUGGAGGAACACCAGUGGCGAAGGCGACUUUCUGGUCUGUAACUGACGCUGAUGUGCGAAAGCGUGGGGAUCAAACAGGAUUAGAUACCCUGGUAGUCCACGCCGUAAACGAUGAGUGCUAAGUGUUAGGGGGUUUCCGCCCCUUAGUGCUGCAGCUAACGCAUUAAGCACUCCGCCUGGGGAGUACGACCGCAAGGUUGAAACUCAAAGGAAUUGACGGGGACCCGCACAAGCGGUGGAGCAUGUGGUUUAAUUCGAAGCAACGCGAAGAACCUUACCAAAUCUUGACAUCCUUUGACAACUCUAGAGAUAGAGCCUUCCCCUUCGGGGGACAAAGUGACAGGUGGUGCAUGGUUGUCGUCAGCUCGUGUCGUGAGAUGUUGGGUUAAGUCCCGCAACGAGCGCAACCCUUAAGCUUAGUUGCCAUCAUUAAGUUGGGCACUCUAAGUUGACUGCCGGUGACAAACCGGAGGAAGGUGGGGAUGACGUCAAAUCAUCAUGCCCCUUAUGAUUUGGGCUACACACGUGCUACAAUGGACAAUACAAAGGGCAGCGAAACCGCGAGGUCAAGCAAAUCCCAUAAAGUUGUUCUCAGUUCGGAUUGUAGUCUGCAACUCGACUACAUGAAGCUGGAAUCGCUAGUAAUCGUAGAUCAGCAUGCUACGGUGAAUACGUUCCCGGGUCU
rnacentral:rRNA from 1 species